AUCUUGCACAAUGGAGGAAACUCUGAUGCAGCNAUGCCGCGUGAGUGAAGAAGGCCUUUGGGUUGUAAAGCUCUUUUGUAGGGGAAGAUAAUGACUGUACCCUAAGAAUAAGGUCCGGCUAACUUCGUGCCAGCAGCCGCGGUAAUACGAAGGGACCUAGCGUAGUUCGGAAUUACUGGGCGUAAAGCGCGCGUAGGCCGUUGAGUUAGUUAAUUGUGAAAUCCCAAAGCUUAACUUUGGAACUGCAAUUAAAACUGCUCGACUAGAGUUUGAUAGAGGAAAGCGGAAUACAUAGUGUAGAGGUGAAAUUCGUAGAUAUUAUGUAGAACACCAGUUGCGAAGGCGGCUUUCUGGAUCAACACUGACGCUGAGGCGCGAAAGUAUGGGU
rnacentral:rRNA from 1 species